rnacentral:rRNA from 1 species
UUUGCGGUGUGGGAUGGGCCCGCGGCCUAUCAGCUUGUUGGUGAGGUUACGGCUCACCAAGGCGACGACGGGUAGCCGGCCUGAGAGGGUGUCCGGCCACACUGGGACUGAGAUACGGCCCAGACUCCUACGGGAGGCAGCAGUGGGGAAUAUUGCACAAUGGGCGCAAGCCUGAUGCAGCGACGCCGCGUGGGGGAUGACGGCCUUCGGGUUGUAAACCUCUUUCAGUACAGACGAAGCGCAAGUGACGGUAUGUACAGAAGAAGCACCGGCCAACUACGUGCCAGCAGCCGCGGUAAUACGUAGGGUGCGAGCGUUGUCCGGAAUUACUGGGCGUAAAGAGCUCGUAGGUGGUUUGUCGCGUUGUUCGUGAAAACCAGAGGCUUAACCUCUGGCGUGCGGGCGAUACGGGCAGACUGGAGUACUGCAGGGGAGACUGGAAUUCCUGGUGUAGCGGUGGAAUGCGCAGAUAUCAGGAGGAACACCGGUGGCGAAGGCGGGUCUCUGGGCAGUAACUGACGCUGAGGAGCGAAAGCGUGGGGAGCGAACAGGAUUAGAUACCCUGGUAGUCCACGCCGUAAACGGUGGGUACUAGGUGUGGGUUUCCUUCCUUGGGAUCCGUGCCGUAGCUAACGCAUUAAGUACCCCGCCUGGGGAGU